GAAGGUUUCUGUACUUUUCCUCUGAACCUUACUUCUCCGUCAGCAAUUGGCUGCCAGGCUGCUCUGGAGUUUUACCUUAUGUUGUGACAUUUACCUUUCGCUUUGCUUAGCUCUUCCGUCUUGAAGAAGUCUCACGUCUGACUCCAGCCUCGCUAAUUCUCCUCGAUCCUUGUCCUGGACGCCUCCAGACGCCGGAUGGGGUGAGAAGAGGCAGCUUUUCAGACGUCAGGCCACUUGUCGGUGCUCCCGCAAGCCCCGCCGGGAGGAGUCUAGCCUUGAGCUCCAGCGUGGGGGGAGCCUGGAGGGAGCCUGGAGAGAACCGAGUUGGAGCCUGAGGGCCCGAGCUGGGGUCGAUUGCAACAUUGUAGGGUCCUGAGCCCCAGGACAGACGCACAGGAUGUGUAUCUGCCGGGCUGCUACUGCUUCGCGCGAGUAUAAAAUCCUAGGGGCAGGACUGAUGGGCAUCAACAUACGGGGAGCCAGUAUUUUGAUCUGUUGGAGGUGAACCAGUCUGGGGCGUGUUCGUAAAGUCCAGACCCCUGCAGUUUCCCAGAAUGAGAAUCAAAUGUUCCAUCUCUCUACCUCUGCUUAAAUUGUUUCCUCAGUCUGGAAUUCUCUCUCCCAGUCUCAUCCCAAUUCACGUCAAAUCCUGUUCCUCCUUCCGGCUCCAGCUCAAAAUGAUUUUUGUGGAACUAUAAAAAUCUAUAAACAGCUGAAUAAAUUAAAAGGGCCUCCCCCUGAAUGAACGUAUGUGUAUAGAGUGAAUAAAGGUCUCAGGGGUUUGUCCCGCAAAUUAAGAGUCCCAAAAUUAAGAGUCCCAAGGGCCGCCGGAUAUAUAUUCUGUACCAGCGAGUGGUCUUGGAUCUCCAAACUUUGGACCUCAGGCAGCAACCUAAGUUCAGCUAGAACAUCCAACCCAGAACUUCCUUAGUUGGUUGGAAGAGUUAGUGCACACUCCCUUUUUAACUGAGAACCGUGCCCAACAAGUCCAACUUUUCAAGAGGUGAUUCUCGAAGUUCAUACAACCAUGCUGAGUUUAUCUUUGGAACGGGGUAAGGUCUGGAGAAAAUGACCCCAGAAAAGGGAAAACGACGUAAGAAACAGGAGAGCAACGUCUCGCUCGAUGGGUGGUUGCAACCCCCAAAACAUCAACUCUUCCUUCGAGCCGGAGUUGAACCAGCGACCUAAGGAUAACCAUAUUGUUUUACACUACAGUCCUCCGCUCUACCAGCUGAGCUAUCGAAGGAAAUAUGAAAACUGCGUUCCUACUAUUCUAUAUUGAGGACAUUGAUAAGCAGAGGUUCGUGCAUAAUGGCCCACUAGUUGCCGGUGCAUGGACACCACUUAGCAGCCAGCUUAGGAGAAAGUCCUACAUCCGCGGUUCUGCAGACAACCCCUCUAGAACUGGAUUCUCUUGCUUCAGGUACGGGCUUCCAAGCAGGACCAGAGAGUGGGCUCUUCACCGGCACACCUAGAGCCUGUGCACCCCGAGGCCGCCCCGGACCGUGGCGAUCUGCUCGCCCCCGGGCUGUUCUCUUCACGUAGUGCGCUGCCCGGGGCCUCCCUGGCAUGAUGUGUGUCUAAAGUGGGAGAGGACACCCGGGCAUCGGAGAACUAAGGGCUGAGGUGGUGGAACAUACAAUUCUGAUCGCGCAACUGCGAGCCAGAGAGAAAGGCGGGCCUCGGAGCUCUGGCCUGGGCCUUUCUUUUCCACACUUCUGCGCUCGCCUCCAAAUCCAGGAGCGUUUGCACAUGCGAGCUGCUUCUCUCUUCCGCUUACACGUCCACAGAGUAGGGGAGGGAGGGGUAUAUAAUACAUAUGGCUAAACCCAAUGCUGCUAUGAGAAUUGACUUGGAGAAACUAUUUUAAGGUUUUUCAAAGAGGAAGCCACAGUUUCUUUGAGUCAAUAACAAAUUUAGUGACCCAAGUCCCGACGCUAAUUUUCCCGCUGAGAUACUUAAAUGUUCGAAAAUCCACUGAAACAUGAAAACUUGUCGGACCCCCAAAUCAGGACAGCUAACGCCGGCUCUUCCCCUGUGGGGAGGGGACCUUGCUCUGGGCUCUAAAUCUGCCCAGAGCGGGUGCUGAGGGCUCGAUCCCAACUCUUUCCCCACAGCCCUUAGGCCCCGCUCCGGCUCCGGCCGCCCUCAGGGCUCUUGCUGCAGGUCCGCACAGCCAGGUCGUCCGCGGAGGCUGGCAGCGCUCCCCGCAGUUUGUAAUGGACUCCGCCACAAUCUAGGCAGCGAAGCAGCACUUGCGCAUUAGCACUGGAAACUGAGAGGAAGCGGUUCCGCUCGGGUGUUUAUUUGGCACAUCUGAACACUGGCGAGAAGAUAUGAGCUGAAUUUUCGCAGGGGUUAAAGUAACGAGAGAGAGGUCUCUGUUCCUGGAUUUCUCGGUUAACAAGGAAUAAAGAAACAAAGAACAGAUAAGAGGGAUCUUACUGUGAUGACACAAAUGUUUUAAACCUUGAUUAUUGUGAUGGUGGUACAACUUGGUAAAUUUACCAAAAUAAUCAUUGAAUUAUACACUUACAAAGAUGAAUUUAAGAUAGGCUGGAAGGAAAAAAAUGGAAAAGACAUACCAUUGAAAACUCUUUAAAGGAAAAAGAAUGAUGUAGUUAUAUCAAUAUCAGACAACAGAUUCUUUAAGGUGAGAAGUACUAUAUGAGAUAUUGAGGAAUAUUUUAUUAUAAAAGUGUCAAUUAUAUACAAUAUUCCUUGUGGUACAUCCAUACAAUGGACUAUUAUUCAGCACUGAGACCUAUAGCAUGAGCUAACAAGCCAUGAAAAGAAAUGUAAGGACUGUUAUGGACUGAAUAACUAUGUUUCCGCCAGAUUCAUAUGUUGAAGCCCUAACCCCCAAUGUGAUGGUAUUUGGAGAUGGUCUUUUGGGGGUAAGUAGGGUUAGAUGGGGCCAUCAGGAUGGGGCCCUCAAGCUGGGAGCAGUGUCCUUAUAAGAAGAGAUAUCAGAGGGCUUGCUUUCUCUUUCUCUCUCCUUCUCUGCCAUGUGAGGACAGAGUGCUUGCCUGCAAGCCAGACGAUAGCUUACAUCAGAAUUCGACAAUCCUAGCACCCUGAUCCUGGACUUCCAGCCUCCAGAACUGUAAAGGUGGUAAAGUCAAGCCAGUAAAGGACGAUGGGUUAAGCAGAAAGCGAAUCAUCGAGGGAGGCAACUGCUCACCAGCUCAGGGAAGUGAUUCAAUUCCCAGGCUUGAGCCAGCCAAGGAAGAGUACCCUGACCGCCCCCCCACCCCCAGCCCGCAAGGUAUCCUAGGAUGGGUUCAAAGUCAGAAUUUGAGCUCUUUAGAGAAAAUUCUCACUUUCUGACCUUUGGACAAUGACUUUCUUGCCCCAUGUGCACGGCCUUUGGUACCCAAAGGGUGCACUGGGCACGGUUUGGCACUCAUUGCCCCCAGGUCUGAAUCCAGGCAUUGUCCCUUCCUCAAGCCUUUGAGGAGUCAUCGGUUCAUUUCAGUAGGUGGUGAUAGUCCUGACUGGCCCACGCCCUAAAGGAGGCAAGAGAUAAAUUUGUCCUUGUGACUUAUUACUUUAGUCAGCCUCUACCAUAGUGACAUUUCGGAUAAUUCUUUGUAGUGGGGGCCUGUCAUAUGUAUUAUAGAAUGUCUAGCAGCAUCCCUGGCCUUUACCCACUAGACACCAGUAGUACUGUCCCAGUUUUGACAAACGAAAAUGUCUCCAGACAUUGUCAACUGUCCCCUACGAGGCAAAAUCCUCCCUAAAGACCUGAGGGUGCAACUACAGUAUUAGCUCCCAGUGUUUGGUUUGUCUUCUCGAUCUCUUCACAGUGUCUUUUGAAGGGCAGGGGUUCUUAAUUUUAGGAAGUACCAUUAAUCACUGUACUUAAUUUUUCUUUGAUGGGUCAUGCUUUUAAUGUUGCAUCUAAGAAAUCUUCCCCCAACACACGUUGACAAAGAUUUUAUUCUAAAUAUUGUAUAGUUUUGAUUUUUCAUGCAUUUUGAGUUAAGUUUUCAUUCAGUGUGAAGUAGGGAUCAAAAUUGUGGGUUUUUUUAAAGCAUCAUUUGUUGAAAAGACUACUUUUCUCUACUGACUUGCCUUUGAAAUUUUGUCAAAAAUUAGUUGAUAAUACACGUGUGGUUCUACCUCUGCACUCCUGUUCCAUAGAUCUACUUUUGUAUCUUAAUGCCAAUACUACAGUCUUGAUUAUAGCAGAUUUCUAAGUCUUGAGGCCAGGCGCAGUGAGUCCUCCAACUUUGUUCUUCUUUUGUUGUCUGGAGCAUGCUAUGUCUUUGGAUUUUCAUAUGAAUUUUGGAAUCAGCUGGUCAUUUUCUGGGGAAAAAACCUGUUGUUAUUUUGAUUUGGAUUACAUUGAACCCAUAAAUCAAUUUAGGGAUAAUUGAUAUCAUAACAGUAUUGUCUUCUCAUUCACAAACACAAAGUGUUUCUCCUUGUAUUUAGGUUUUCUUUCAUUUCUCUCAGCAUUUUUUUUUUCUGUGUACAAGUGUACAUGUUUUAAUGGUAAGUAUUUCAUAUUUAAUGAUACUAUAGUAAAUUGGAUUGCUUUUUUUUUUUUUUUUUUGUGGUACGCGGGCCU